CCUGUGUUCAUUUUCCAGCUACACUUUAACUAGGAAACGGUGAAGAAAUCUUGGAAAGUAUAAAGAACCAGACACGAAUACGUUUCUCUCCAUCCGGGGUGGGGGGAGAAAACCCCAACUUGUUAAUUAACCCACAUUUCACUUCUGCAAAGUUCAUUUUUUCCUUCCCUCUCAAUGUCCACAUCUGAACAGCAGUGUGUAGCAUGCUACGAAAUGUUUGGCUGCUGCUGCGGCUGCCGUACUUUCGAGUCAGGAGAGAAGUGCCUUUUUCAUCACGAAUUCUUUUGUUUUUCUCUGUGGCCAGCUGCUACAAAGAUGCAGUCAAUUUAGAUUAAACAGGCUGAGGAGUGCUCUCCGACAUGUCAGCCAAGCACACUUCUUGAAAUCCGGUGUUCAGCAGCAGGUGGCGUGUCCUAGGUCUGACUCAGGAAGCAGGAGCACCAGGAAGCCCGGCUUUCAGCCAGCAUCUCAGCUAAGGCGAACAUGGAGAGACAGAGGUGGGAAAUUUGCCCUGCUCUCAGCUAGCAGGAUGCAAAGAGACAAUUGAGGUUGCUUUAAAAGGAUACCAGUGAAAAUCCAAACAAGCCUGACUUCGUCUCUGGAACUAGGAAGAGCAGCGAGUGAGCGUGUGAGAGCUGAGGAAUAGCCCCGGACCCACCUCAAAGCUGUGGGUUCAUUCGGGGACCUCAGUGACUUUUCAGGCUUGACUACAAGUAUGAUUCUGAUCCAAAAUUAGGCUUUGGAUGUGUAAUGCCAGGCUCCCUGCCCCACCCACCGCCUCUCGCUGCCGUUUCUUCAGAGCCUGGCUCCCGGCCAGUACUGGCCCUUCUAGCUCCUGGGGGAAGGGCUGGCCUGGCUGUUCUGUCUUGUUUUGUUUCCAGGCGGGGUUUUAGGAUGGGUGAAGGUGCGUCGGCUCUUCAGGAAGUCGAGGGGAAAUUGACACGCUUGGCAAGGGCAUCCAAACCUCAAAUCACUCACUUCAUCCAGCCAAAGGUGGAGGAGACGGUACAGGGCGAUUUCCCAGGGUUGCUGGCCCUGGCAGGAGUGGUGCGGACGGCAGCAUCUUCAAGACCGCUCGUCCUCUCUGACCUUCAGCAGCCAGACCACGGGCAGCAGUGGGGCUGUUGUGUUGGGGUUCGCCUUCGCAGCCUUCUUUGUCUCAUUGCCCACGGAAGAAGAUUCCUUUUGAAGAUGAUCAAGGAGACAAAGGGACAGAGAGAUUACCAAUGGAAAUGACCAGGGAAACUUCAGGAAGAAGCAAAGUGGCCGACCACGUUAGCUUCCACACCUGAUCCACGCAGCAGCUGGGCUCUGAGCCCUUCAGGACAGGGUAACCUGUCUCCUCCCACCUGACCUAUGGGCUUUUAAGCAGCCGGCUCUAGCAUGGAGAGAGAAAGCUCUCACACGGCCUCCUUUGCUGUGCUCACAC
rnacentral:lncRNA from 1 species